rnacentral:rRNA from 1 species
UACGGGGGGGCAAGCGUUGUUCGGAAUUACUGGGCGUAAAGGGCUCGUAGGUGGCCAACUAAGUCGGACGUGAAAUCCCUCAGCUUAACUGGGGAACUGCGUCCGAUACUGGAUGGCUUGAGUUUGGGAGAGGGAUGCGGAAUUCCAGGUGUAGCGGUGAAAUGCGUAGAUAUCUGGAGGAACACCGGUGGCGAAGGCGGCAUCCUGGACCGACAUUGACGCUGAGGCGCGAAAGCGUGGGGAGCAACAGGG